rnacentral:rRNA from 1 species
UACGUAGGGUGCGAGCGUUAAUCGGAAUUACUGGGCGUAAAGCGUGCGCAGGCGGUUUCUGAAGUCCGUUGUGAAAGCCCCGGGCUUAACCUGGGAAUGGCAGUGGAAACUAGGAGACUUGAAUCUGGCAGAGGGGGGUGGAAUGCCACGUGUAGCAGUGAAAUGCGUAGAGAUGUGGCGGAACACCGAAUGGCGAAGGCAGCCCCUGGGUCAAGAUUGACGCUCAGGCACGAAAGCGUGGGGAGCAAACAGG